CCUACGGGUGGCUGCAGUGGGGGAUAUUGCACAAUGGGGGAAACCCUGAUGCAGCGACGCCGCGUGUGGGAAGACGGUCUUCUGGAUUGUAAACCACUGUCCCCAGGGACGAAAAUGACGGUACCUGGGGAGGACGCUCCGGCUAACUACGUGCCAGCAGCCGCGGUAAUACGUGGGGAGCAAGCGUUGUCCGGAUUUACUGGGUGUAAGGGGAGCGUAGGCGGGGGUGCAAGUUGGGGGGCAAAACUACCGGCUCAACCGAUAGUCGCACUCAAGACUGCAGCUCUUGAGUGAAGGAGAGGCAGGCGGAAUUCCUGGUGUAGCGGUGAAAUGCGUAGAGAUUAGGAGGAACACCAGUGGCGAAGGCGGCCUGCUGGGCUAUUACUGACGCUGAGGCUCGAAAGUGUGGGGAGCAAACAGGAUUAGAUACCCCGGUAGUC
rnacentral:rRNA from 1 species